GGGGAGGAAGGCGAGGAUGACGUCAAGUCAGCACGGUUCUUACACCCUGGGCUACACACACACUACAAUGGCGAAAAACAACGAGUUGCAAGCUAGCAAUAGCAAGCUAAUCUCUUAAAUUUCGCCUCAGUUCAGAUUGGGGUCUGCAACCUGACCCCAUGAAGUCGGAAUUGCUAGUAAUCGCGGAUCAGCAUGCCGCGGUGAAUACGUUCUCGGGUCUUGUACAAAAAAUUGCGCCUUUCGGCCAAUUUUUCCAGAAGGUGGAAAUCCUUCUAA
rnacentral:ncRNA from 1 species